rnacentral:rRNA from 1 species
UACGUAGGGUCCGAGCGUUGUCCGGAAUUAUUGGGCGUAAAGGGCUCGUAGGCGGUUUGUCGCGUCGGGAGUGAAAACACGGGGCUUAACCCCGUGCCUGCUUCCGAUACGGGCAGACUAGAGGUAUGCAGGGGAGAACGGAAUUCCUGGUGUAGCGGUGAAAUGCGCAGAUAUCAGGAGGAACACCAAUGGCGAAGGCAGCUCGCUGGAACGGUACUGACGCUGAGGCGCGAAAGCGUGGGAGCGAACAGG